ACUCUCAGCAACGGAUAUCUCGGCUCUCGCAACGAUGAAGAACGCAGCGAAAUGCGAUACGUGGUGUGAAUUGCAGAAUUCCGUGAAUCAUCGAAUGUUUGAACGCAACUUGUGUCCGAGGCUUGUCCCGAGGACGUGCCUGCCUGAGCGUCU
rnacentral:rRNA from 1 species